CAAGAGCAACAUGGUGAUAUGUGCAGAGAACAGGGUUUCUUCAACGCAGAAUGUUUGACUGCCCAUUUUAGACCCGACCGAACGUAUGGAAUCAACAGAUUCAAUGGAAAUAUACGGGCAGUGACGACAGGAAAUAGAGACAAGGACUCUGUUCGGAGGAGAAUCACCGAUUAACAAACGAAUACUCGCCGCGGAUCGGAGCCAUGAGAUAUCGGAGAGCAACGGAAAGUUGCAGCUAUCCACAGGGGACAAGCUUGUUCCAUGACGAUUUGCUCAACGUAUUAAAGAACAUCCCAACAAUCGAAAGGUGACAACAGAUCACUGCGAUACGGUAUAGCCACAAAAAAAGCAUGGAUAUUAGAAAGACGUGUGAACUGGCACAACAACAGUCUCAGUUCUUUAGUCUACCCCUCACCCCCCGCAUCUUUGUCGUUCGCGCACCCUGAUUGACCGACCGGCCGCCAUGGAUCGGCAGUAAUAACAGCACAAUUCCACCAGUACACACCGUUCAUUGGUUCGCUUUGCUUCUUGCUUUUGUCAGCCAUUUUCAACGACUAGACCAUAAGUGUUAUCGUCCCGCGUCGUGUGGUGCCCGCCGAGUAGUCAGCGAUGCCGUGACGGUGGCUAAUUCCAGAUAUCGUCAAGCCCGAUCCUGGGCUGACAACAGGGACAAGCAUAAUAAUUUAUGUAGCUCGAUAGAUAGUUACGACAUGGGGCACAACACCUCAACAAGGAAGUAUUCUCAGUUACCACGCCUGCCCCGCUGCUUAAUACAGCCAGCAACAAAUGUUACAGGUCAUAGGGAUGACACUAUCGUCGCUCGACAGAGACAAACCACCAGCCAGUCACUAGCUGGGCGUCUAAUCAGACAUUCGGACCGUUGAAGAUAGGAGUGAUCCAAGGCUCACAUGUGGAUCAGCAUAGCUAGGUUUACAGGCUACUCGGCUAGUGCAGUUGUAACAACUAUUGCACGUUGCCUAAAAUGCCGAUAACGUAUUGGUUACAUGGAAGUUUCCAGUGCUAUACGAUGAAGGAAAAUAAGGGAGCAGUGAUUCAAUAAAUCUCCACCGAACUCUUCUGAGG